CCCUUAGAUGUUCUGGGCCGCACGCGCGCUACACUGACGAAUGCAACGAGCUUAUAACCUUGGCCGAAAGGUCUGGGUAAUCUCCAAAUUUCGUCGUGAUGGGGAUAGAUUAUUGCAAUUAUUAAUCUUCAACGAGGAAUGCCUAGUAAGCGCAAGUCAUCAGCUUGCGUUGAUUACGUCCCUGCCCUUUGUACACACCGCCCGUCGCUCCUACCGAUUGAAUGGUCCGGUGAAGCGCUCGGACCGCGGCCUCUUGACGGUUUUCCGUCUGUUGGCUGCGGGAAGUUCGUUAAACCUUAUCAUUUAGAGGAAGGAGAAGUCGUAACA
rnacentral:rRNA from 1 species